AAACAUUAUAUACAUGACUUUAUGCUAUAUUGUUCCUUAUUACUCAUUUUGCAUAGUUUAUUAUAAUUAUUUAACAUAAAUAUUUUUAUGUUGUAUUCUAUUUUAUAAUGCAAAACAAUAUUUUAAAAGAAGUUUCGUAAUGCUUAAUGUUUCUUGGUAGGAUUCAAGUAAAUAGCCUUUGGUAGGGCUUAAUAAUGUUUACAGCAUUGGGCAUGGUUUGCACAUAAGAUCUUGGCAUUUGAGAUUUCGUAAUCCCUGCUCAGCCCUUCUAAGGAAGGAAACCGCCUCUCAUAUUUUCUUUUGCCUAUUUGCCUAAUUUCUCCCUCAAAGAAAAGAAAAAGUAGGAGUUAAAGAAAAGGCAGAAGUGAAAUUCAAUAGUCAAACAACCCGGCACCACACCCCAGGCCUGGUAGUUAAAGAUCAACCCCUGACCUAAUCGCUUAUGUUAUAUAUAGAUUCCAGACAUUGUAUGAGGAAACAUUGUGUAACUCCCUGUUCGGUUCUGUUCUGUUCUGACCACCGGUGCAGACAGCCCCCGUCACGUAGUCCCCACUUGCACAAUGUAUCACGACCCUUUCAUGUGGACCCCUUAGAGUUGUAAGCCCUUAAAAGGGACAGGAAUCUUGACUUCAGGGAGCUUGGUUCUUGAGAUAUGAGUCUACCAAUGCUCCCAGCUAAUUAAAGCCUCUUCCUUCCUAAAACUGGUAUCCGAGAGGUUUUGUCUGUGACUGGUCCUGCUACAUUUCUUAGUUCACGCUACAUUUCUUAGUUCCCUGACCGGGAAGUGAGGUGAUUAACGGAUGGUCAAGGCAGCCCCUUAGGCAGCUUAGGCCUGUCCUGUGGAGCAUCCCUGUGGGGGACUCCAGCCCUGUGACACGGAUCCUGAGAGCACUCCCAGUAGGCCAUCGCCCAGGUGGAAUGCUUUGCCAGAGCAGUGCGCGGCAGACCCCCAUGGAGGAUUAACACAGCGGCUGAACACUGGGAAGGAAUCCGUGCUUGGAGUCCUGACAUCUGGAACAUGGUGGAAAGAAGGAAAAAUCGAGCCAGCCUGGGAAGGACCCUACCUUGUGCUGCUAACCACCGAG
rnacentral:lncRNA from 10 species